rnacentral:rRNA from 1 species
AUUGAACGCUGGCGGCAGGCCUAACACAUGCAAGUCGAGCGAGCGGCGGACGGGUGAGUAAUGUAUGGGAAACUGCCUGAUGGAGGGGGAUAACUACUGGAAACGGUAGCUAAUACCGCAUACCAUCGGAUGUGCCCAGAGGGGCAUAGCUAGUAGGUGGGGUAACGGCUCACCUAGGCGACGAUCCCCAGACGGUCUGAGAGGAUGACCAGCCACACUGGAACUGAGACACGGUCCAGACUCCUACGGGAGGCAGCAGUGGGGAAUAUUGCACAAUGGGCGCAAGCCUGAUGCAGCCAUGCCGCGUGUAUGAAGAAGGCCUUCGGGUUGUAAAGUACUUUCAGCGGGGAGGCGUUACCCGCAGAAGAAGCACCGGCUAACUCCGUGCCAGCAGCCGCGGUAAUAC